CAUCAUCUUCAACAUCCUCAGCCUCAUCUUCAUCAGUCCCACUAUCAUCAUCAACCUCAGAAGCAAAGCUCUCAUCAGCAAACUCACAGCCUUCAUCACCAUCCCUACCUUCUUCAACAACACCGUUAUCCUCAACAUCUUUAAUACUGUCACCUACACAAAACUCAUCAUCUUCAACAUCCUCAGCAGCAACUUCAUCAGUUCCACGACUGUCAUCAUCAUCUUCUGCAACAUUAUCAUCUAGACCUUCUUCACCAACAUUACAAUCACCUUUAUCAUCACCACCGCCAUCUUCAAUACUAACAACUACUCCAUAUUCAUCAUCCUCAGCCUCAUCUUCAUCAGUCUCACUAUCAUCAUCAACCCAGCCAAAACAACCUUUAACAUCAGCAACCUCUACAUCAUUUUCCUCAUCAACAUCAUCAGCAAUCUCACAGCAUUCAUCACCAUCCCUACCUUCUUCAACAACACAGCUAUCAUCAUCAUCUUUAAUACUAUCACCUAGACAAAACUCAUCAUCUUCAACAUCCUCAGCAGCAACUUCAUCAGUUCCACGACUGUCAUCAUCAUCUUCUGCAACAUUAUCAUCUAGACCUUCUUCACCAACAUUACAAUCACCUUUAUCAUCAACACCACCAUCUUCAAUACUAUCAACUUCUCCAACUUCAUCAUCAUCAGUCUCAUCCUCAUCAGUCCCACUAUCAUCAUCAACCCAAUUAAAACAGCCCUCAUCAUCAGUAACCUCUACAUCAUUGUCCUCAUCAUUACCAUCAUCAGCAAAUUCACAGCGCUCAUCAUCAUCCCCACCAUCUUCACCAACAACGUUAACAUCAUCAUCAACAAUAACAUCUUCAAUUCUAUCAACAACAGAAUCCUCAUCCUCUUCACCAUCCUCAACGUUAUACUCAUCAUUCCCACUAUUUUCAUCAUCACCACCACCACAACCAUUUUCAUCAUACUUCUCUUCUUCAAGUUCACCUCAUCAAUUCUCACCAUCUUCACCACUACCCUCAUCAUCUUCAACAUCAACACCAGCAAUAAUUCCACCUACUUCAUCAUUACUAACAUUCACAUCACCUUCAUCAACACUGUCAUCAUCAGCAGCCUCAUCACCAAUGUCAACUUCAUCAUUUUCAACAACCUUAUUAUCAGCCUUUCCACAAUUUCCAACAUCUCAGCAAUCUUCAACACCAACCCCACCAUCAUCACAAACACCAUCCUCACCAACUUCAGCACCAUCAUCAUCCUCACUUUCAGUAACACCAAUACAAACAUCAUCACUGACAACAGCACCAUCUUCAUUACCAAAUUCACCAUCCCCAACAUUGUCUUCAUCAAUAACCUCACCACCAUUAUUACCACCAUCAUCCUCUUUUUCUCCAGCAAUCUCGUUGACUUCAAUGACUACAUCAUCAUCUUCAUCAUCCUCAACAUCAUUACCAACCAUCCCAUUAUAUCAGUCAUCCUCACUGCUAUCACCACCGUCAUCAUCACCAAACUCUCCAUCACUUAAACCAUCCUCACCAUCAACAGCCUUUCUGGAUAAGAAGAAAGUGACCACAGGCCUGCGUGUGUAUGUGCACUCCAAGGCAAAUAUGCAAGCAACACUGAAGGCUGUGCAGGAUUUUCUUCUUCACAUGGAAUCCGUCAUGAGGAGACAACAAGCUGGAGACUGCAGGCUACGAGUUUUACAUGGCACAGCUAUGAAAAAAUAAACGUGAAACGACACCUCACUGAACAUGACAUCCACAGCACAAUAGCUGCUCUAUGUAAAUAUAAUUUUUCUGAAUAUUCUGUGUUUUACAGAAACCUCAUUUUCUGAGUAUGUUACUAAAUGAAAAUUGUGCUUUUUCACUAGGUGGCACUACAGCAUAAAACAUAAGUAAAUAGCAUGUCACUGGAACAGAUGUAGGCUUUUUGUACAAACACUGUAUUUUGUCAAACAUUUCAUGGAUAAAAUCAGAUUAAAAAUGUCCAAGAAGGAUAAAAACAUAAUCAGACUUUACAGCACAUAUUCUCAAAAAUGUAUAGCUCGCACAAAUAUCGAUUUAAUUAUGCUGGUAAACCAUGUUAAUUGUUUUUGGGGGGUUUUUUGUCUUUACUUCCAAAGUGUUUUUUUUUUUUUCUUUUUUUUUCUUUUGGUCAAACAAAUUUUGUUGUUUUCCGAUGCUUUUUUGAAUGUGGUGAGUCUCAGAUUUUGUGUGGAUAUUUUGCAUUUACAUUUUAGAAACAUGUUUGUUUUAAUUUAGUUUGCUAAAAUUUAAAUCUAAGUGUUCUCUGAGUUUUAUCUCUUCAUCUACUUGCGUGCUUUGUACGUAGAAAAUAUUUGGCAUUAUAUACAAAACAUUUUUGUGGGUGCAUUCUUUGUAGCAAAAUCUUUUUCCGGCAAUCCACUCAAAUAAUUUUCUUUUGAAGAACAUGACUUUCAACCUUGAUGUCAUGCGUCAUAGCAGAAAAUGUGUGUUAGGUUGCCAGUAAGAGGAAGCAAUCUUAAAAAAUAAUAAUAAUAAAUGUGCGAUGUUUGUGAAAAUUACA
ensembl:lncRNA